rnacentral:SRP_RNA from 1 species
UGCCCCCCAUGUGGCGGUAUCUCGGCGAACUCCCCCAGGACGGAAACGGAGCAAGGGUAGUCGGGCUCUAUCGGGUGCAUGGGGGGUCUUU